GACGUCAAAUCAUCAUGCCCUUACUGACCUGGGCUACACACGUGCUACAAUGGUUGGUACAACGAGUUGCGAGUCGGUGACGGCGAGCUAAUCUCUUAAAGCCAAUCUCAGUUCGGAUUGUAGGCUGCAACUCGCCUACAUGAAGUCGGAAUCGCUAGUAAUCGCGGAUCAGCACGCCGCGGUGAAUACGUUCCCAGGCCUU
rnacentral:rRNA from 1 species